UACGGAGGGUGCAAGCGUUAUCCGGAUUCACUGGGUUUAAAGGGUGCGUAGGUGGGCAGGUAAGUCAGUGGUGAAAUCUCUGGGCUUAACCCGGAAACUGCCAUUGAUACUAAUGGUCUUGAAUUUUGUUGAGGUAGGCGGAAUAAGUCAUGUAGCGGUGAAAUGCAUAGAUAUGACUUAGAACACCAAUUGCGAAGGCAGCUUGCUAAACAAAUAUUGACGCUGAGGCACGAAAGCGUGGGGAUCAAACAGG
rnacentral:rRNA from 1 species